rnacentral:rRNA from 1 species
UACAGAGGGUGCAAGCGUUAAUCGGAAUUACUGGGCGUAAAGCGUGCGUAGACGGUUAUUUAAGUCAGGUGUGAAAGCCCAGGGCUCAACCUUGGAAUUGCAUUUGAGACUGAAUAGCUAGGGUGCGGAAGAGGGAAGCGGAAUUUCCGGUGUAGCGGUGAAAUGCGUAGAUAUCGGAAGGAACACCAGUGGCGAAAGCGGCUCCUGGUCCAGCACCGACGUCAGGCACGAAAGCGUGGGGAGCAAACAGG